rnacentral:rRNA from 1 species
AUUGAACGCUGGCGGCAUGCCUUACACAUGCAAGUCGAACGGUAACAGGUCUUCGGAUGCUGACGAGUGGCGAACGGGUGAGUAAUACAUCGGAACGUGCCUAGUAGUGGGGGAUAACUACUCGAAAGAGUGGCUAAUACCGCAUGAGAUCUACGGAUGAAAGCAGGGGAUCGCAAGACCUUGUGCUACUAGAGCGGCCGAUGGCAGAUUAGGUAGUUGGUGGGAUAAAAGCUUACCAAGCCGACGAUCUGUAGCUGGUCUGAGAGGACGAUCGGCCACACUGGGACUGAGACACGGCCCAGACUCCUACGGGAGGCAGCAGUGGGGGAUUUUGGACAAUGGGCGCAAGCCUGAUCCAGCAAUGCCGCGUGCAGGAUGAAGGCCUUCGGGUUGUAAACUGCUUUUGUACGGAACGAAAAGCCCUGGGUUAAUACCCUGGGGUCAUGACGGUACCGUAAGAAUAAGCACCGGCUAACUACGUGCCAGCCGCCGCAUAAUAC